CGGAGCUUGCUCCGGUGAAAGUGGCGCACGGGUGAGUAACGCGUGGAUAAUCUGCCCUGGUAUCUGGGAUAACAUCUCGAAAGGGGUGCUAAUACCGGAUAAGCCCACGGUCUCUUCGGAGAGUGCGGGAAGAGGGGGCCUCUGUAUAUGCUCCUGUCGCUAGAUGAGUCCGCGGCCCAUUAGCUAGUUGGUAGGGUAAUGGCCUACCAAGGCUACGAUGGGUAGCUGGUCUGAGAGGAUGAUCAGCCACACUGGAACUGAGACACGGUCCAGACUCCUACGGGAGGCAGCAGUGGGAAAUUUGCGCAAUGGGSGAAAGCCUGACGCAGCAACGCCGCGUGAGUGAUGAAGGCCCUCGGGUCGUAAAGCUCUGUCAGAGGGGAAGAACCUCCCAUCGGUUAAUAUCCGGUGGGCCUGACGGUACCCUCAAAGGAAGCACCGGCUAACUCCGUGCCAGCAGCCGCGGUAAUAC
rnacentral:rRNA from 2 species